rnacentral:rRNA from 1 species
AUGAACAUAUUGGCCUGGAACUGUCAAGGAUUGGGGUUGGACUCGACAGUGGGCGAAUUACGAGACCUGAUACGGUCCCACAACCCAGCGGUGGUGUUUUUAUGUGAAACAAAAAAGAAGGCGCGAGCAAUGGAAAGACUCAAGUGGAGUUUAGGCUUUACUUCGGGUGUAGCAGUGGAUUGCAAGGGCCGUAGUGGCGGUCUAGCCCUUUGGUGGAGAGAUCAUGUGCAAGUAACAGUGAGACCGUGGUGCCAAUAUUUCAUCGAUGCAGUGGUGUCUGUCGAGGGGAAGACUUGUACGAUCACUGGAUUCUACGGGGAACCUCGAACGGAGCUUCGAAAAAAAUCAUGGGACGCGAUUCGUUACCUCAAAGCUCAAGACGAUAACCCAUGGAUCUGUCUAGGUGAUUUUAAUGAAGCUUUAUUUCAGACCGAUCAACGUGGAGGUAACCUCUGA